AUUGAACGCUGGCGGCAGGCCUAACACAUGCAAGUCGAGCGGAUGAAGGGAGCUUGCUCCUGGAUUCAGCGGCGGACGGGUGGGUAAUGCCUAGGAAUCUGCCUGGUAGUGGGGGAUAACGUCCGGAAACGGGCGCUAAUACCGCAUACGUCCUGAGGGAGAAAGUGGGGGAUCUUCGGACCUCACGCUAUCAGAUGAGCCUAGGUCGGAUUAGCUAGUUGGUGGGGUAAAGGCCUACCAAGGCGACGAUCCGUAACUGGUCUGAGAGGAUGAUCAGUCACACUGGAACUGAGACACGGUCCAGACUCCUACGGGAGGCAGCAGUGGGGAAUAUUGGACAAUGGGCGAAAGCCUGAUCCAGCCAUGCCGCGUGUGUGAAGAAGGUCUUCGGAUUGUAAAGCACUUUAAGUUGGGGGGAAGGGCAGUAAGUUAAUACCUUGCUGUUUUGACGUUACCAACAGAAUAAGCACCGGCUAACUUCGUG
rnacentral:rRNA from 1 species